rnacentral:rRNA from 1 species
CCCGACUGCUAUUUGGGUGAGACUAAGCCAUGCGAGUUGAAUGGGAUACCUAAAUUUCCCAUGGCAAACUGCUCAGUAACACAUGAUCAACUUACCCUAUGGAGAAAAAUAACCUCGGGAAACUGAGGAUAAUAUUUCAUAGUUGAGAAGGCUUGGAAAAGUUUUUCAAUGAAAGGGAUAAAAAAAAUGGUUUUUAUUUGCCAUAGGAUAGGAUCGUGGUCGAUUGUGGUAGUUGGCGAGAUAACGGCUCACCAAGCCGAUAAUCGAUAGGGGCCGUGAGAGCGGGAGCCCCGAGAUGGGUACUGAGACAACGACCCAGGCCUUACGAGGCGCAGCAGGCGCGAAACCUCCGCAAUACACGAAAGUGUGACGGGGUUACCCAAAGUGUCCAAAUUGGACUGUGGUAGGUGAGUAAUGUCCCCUACUAGAAAGGAGAGGGCAAGGCUGGUGCCAGCCGCCGCGGUAAAACCAGCUCUUCAAGUGGUCGGGAUAAUUAUUGGGCUUAAAGUGUCCGUAGCCGGUUUAGUAAGUUCCUGGUAAAAUCGGGUAGCUUAACUAUCUGUAUGCUAGGAAUACUGCUAUACUAGAGGGCGGGAGAGGUCUGAGGUACUACGGGGGUAGGGGUGAAAUCUUAUAAUCCUUGUAGGACCACCAGUGGCGAAGGCGUCAGACUGGAACGCGCCUGACGGUGAGGGACGAAAGCCAGGGGAGCGAACCGGAUUAGAUACCCGGGUAGUCCUGGCCGUAAACGAUGCAUACUAGGUGAUGGCACGGCCAUGAGCCGUGUCAGUGCCGUAGGGAAACCGUUAAGUGUGCCGCCUGGGAAGUACGGUCGCAAGGCUAAAACU